UAANACAUGCAAGUCGAACGGUAGCACAGAGGAGCUUGCUCCUUGGGUGACGAGUGGCGGACGGGUGAGUAAUGUCUGGGAAACUGCCUGAUGGAGGGGGAUAACUACUGGAAACGGUAGCUAAUACCGCAUAACGUCGCAAGACCAAAGAGGGGGACCUUCGGGCCUCUUGCCAUCAGAUGUGCCCAGAUGGGAUUAGCUAGUAGGUGGGGUAAUGGCUCACCUAGGCGACGAUCCCUAGCUGGUCUGAGAGGAUGACCAGCCACACUGGAACUGAGACACGGUCCAGACUCCUACGGGAGGCAGCAGUGGGGAAUAUUGCACAAUGGGCGCAAGCCUGAUGCAGCCAUGCCGCGUGUAUGAAGAAGGCCUUCGGGUUGUAAAGUACUUUCAGCGGGGAGGAAGGCGAUACGGUUAAUAACCGUGUCGAUUGACGUUACCCGCAGAAGAAGCACCGGCUAACUCCGUGCCAGCAGCCGCGGUAAUACGGAGGGUGCAAGCGUUAAUCGGAAUUACUGGGCGUAAAGCGCACGCAGGCGGUCUGUCAAGUCGGAUGUGAAAUCCCCGGGCUCAACCUGGGAACUGCAUUCGAAACUGACAGGCUAGAGUCUUGUAGAGGGGGGUAGAAUUCCAGGUGUAGCGGUGAAAUGCGUAGAGAUCUGGAGGAAUACCGGUGGCGA
rnacentral:rRNA from 1 species